rnacentral:misc_RNA from 1 species
GAUGAAGAACGUAGCGAAAUGCGAUAAGUAAUGUGAAUUGCAGAAUUCAGUGAAUCAUCGAAUCUUUGAACGCACAUUGCGCCCGUCAGUAUUCUGGCGGGCAUGCCUGUUCGAGCGUCAUUACGCCCCUCAAGUCCCCUGUGGACUUGGUGUUGGGGAUCGGCGAGGCUGGUUUUCCAGCACAGCCGUCCCUUAAAUUAAUUGGCUGUCUCGCCGUGGCCCUCCUCUGCGCAGUAGUAAAACACUCGCAACAGGAGCCCGGCGCGGUCCACUGCCGUAAAACCCCCCAACUUUUUAUAGUUGACCUCGAAUCAGGUAGGACUACCCGCUGAACUUAAGCAUAUCAAUAAGCGGAGGA